GGACUCAUAGCUCAGCCCGGUUAGAGCGUUCGCCUGAUAAGCGAGAGGUCACUGGUUCAAAUCCAGUUGGGUCCACCA
rnacentral:tRNA from 1 species